CUUCUGGCUUCAGCCUCUCAAAGUGUUGAGAUUACAGUGAACUUCUUGAGCACUGGUAAGAAACAUUUGGAGAAAAUUCUCCUAAGAAGCCCUGAUCCACUUGAUGCCCUGACAAAAAAUAAAGUUAAUCUAUUAUGGUAAAGAAGAUGAGGAGAGAAGAACUGGCAUCAAACAUUUAGAAGAUAAUUAAGAGGACCUCAAGCUGCCUUAGCAGAGUGCAUCUCCUGAAGUGCAGAUAAAAUUGAUAUUAAGGCUCAGACAGACAUGGAGAUAAAAGUCCCAUGAAAGAAGACCUAGAAUUUUCAUUGAAUAGGACUCAGCACAAGAGCUGGCCCAGCUGCCUCAUCAUGGUUUGAGCCUUUGUUUUCUUAUCUGUAAGAUAACACCUAAGGCAAGCAGAAAGUUAAUUUGCAGAAUUAUUAGAGAAGGCUCUUGGUAUCAGCACCUAUGAAAACGAAGGAGGCAAAAUCACCAUGGCAUAGGGAAAAGUCAAGCCUAGGUUUGUCCUGCAUUGAUCUGAAGUGCCUGGACUGUUAUACCUCUGUCUCCAUCAAUCAUUGGAUGAGGAUCACCUAGGAAGGAUGUGGGAGAUGUGAUCCUUGAAGGGGCUGUCUGUUGAAGGAUGCUUGCUGAUAGCUCUCCCACUAGUAGGAACAAAAAAGUCAUUCCUGGAGGGGAUCUGGGUAACAUUUUCUGUGUGUUUCUUACCUGUUAAACCUGGUUUUGUGAGAGAAAUUAACUGUAAAACUUACUGUAAAUGUUAAUUUAUAAUUCUUACCAUGAUCAAACAUUUAU